ensembl:lncRNA
CGUUUAUUGUGGGUAAAGUGACUUCGGACGUUCUGACAACUCAAACUCAAAAAUCUUUCAAAGAUUGGAAUGCAGCCAAAGCCCUCGGGAAACGUAGCAGGUGCAACAUGUUUUGGUUUCGAUAUCUAUCAUGGAGGGAAUAGCCCACAAGUUCAUCAACAGGAGGAUCUUUCGUUUCAGCUGCAUUAUCCCAACGUCAAAAGGUCGCUGAGGCAUGUGUUUGAGUGUGCUUACAGACAGUUAAUCCUCCCAUGGUACUGCGUCCCAGAGCCCCCUGAGUGCCAGCCCCUUCAUCAGGCUCUGGGCAGGGAGUUUGACCUGGUGGUGGACCGGGUCAUCAGCAGGGCCCGGGACUUUGACCUGUGCGAGGCUGUGGUGGGCUCCGUCCGGAUCCUGACCCAGCACUUCCAUAACGCGAAGCAGGCGGAAAGGGAUCCCCUGUUCGGCUCCAGAGCAGAGGAAAUGGCUGUCCUGAGGGUGUUCUCCGAG